rnacentral:tRNA from 2 species
AUUGGUUAGAGUACCGCCCUGUCAAGACGGAAGUUGCGGGUUCGAGUCCCGUCAGUCCCG